UACGGAGGGUGCAAGCGUUAUCCGGAUUCACUGGGUUUAAAGGGUGCGUAGGUGGCGCGUUAAGUCCGUUGUGAAAUCCCUUGGCUCAACCAAGGAAUGGCUUCGGAUACUGGCGUGCUUGAGGCUGGUAUGGGUCACUGGAACUGACGGUGGAGCGGUGAAAUGCGUAGAUAUCGUCGGGAACGCCAAUGGUGAAGACAGGUGACUGGGCCAGUUCUGACACUGAGGCACGAAAGCGUGGGGAGCGAACGGG
rnacentral:rRNA from 1 species